UGUGUUCCAGGUAAAUCCGGUUCACUUUAACACUGAGGCGUGACGACGAGGCACUACGGUGCUGAAGCAACAAAUGCCCUGCUUCCAGGAAAAGCCUCUAAGCAUCAGGUAACAUCAAAUCGUACCCCAAACCGACACAGGUGGUCAGGUAGAGAAUACCAAGGCGCUUGAGAGAACUCGGGUGAAGGAACUAGGCAAAAUGGUGCCGUAACUUCGGGAGAAGGCACGCUGACACGUAGGUGAAGUGAUUUACUCAUGGAGCUGAAGUCAGUCGAAGAUACCAGCUGGCUGCAACUGUUUAUUAAAAACACAGCACUGUGCAAACACGAAAGUGGACGUAUACGGUGUGACGCCUGCCCGGUGCCGGAAGGUUAAUUGAUGGGGUCAGCGCAAGCGAAGCUCCUGAUCGAAGCCCCGGUAAACGGCGGCCGUAACUAUAACGGUCCUAAGGUAGCGAAAUUCCUUGUCGGGUAAGUUCCGACCUGCACGAAUGGCGUAAUGAUGGCCAGGCUGUCUCCACCCGAGACUCAGUGAAAUUGAACUCGCUGUGAAGAUGCAGUGUACCCGCGGCAAGACGGAAAGACCCCGUGAACCUUUACUAUAGCUUGACACUGAACAUUGAGCCUUGAUGUGUAGGAUAGGUGGGAGGCUUUGAAGUGUGGACGCCAGUCUGCAUGGAGCCGACCUUGAAAUACCACCCUUUAAUGUUUGAUGUUCUAACGUGGACCCGUUACCCGGGUUGCGGACAGUGUCUGGUGGGUAGUUUGACUGGGGCGGUCUCCUCCUAAAGAGUAACGGAGGAGCACGAAGGUUGGCUAAUCCUGGUCGGACAUCAGGAGGUUAGUGCAAUGGCAUAAGCCAGCUUGACUGCGAGCGUGACGGCGCGAGCAGGUGCGAAAGCAGGUCAUAGUGAUCCGGUGGUUCUGAAUGGAAGGGCCAUCGCUCAACGGAUAAAAGGUACUCCGGGGAUAACAGGCUGAUACCGCCCAAGAGUUCAUAUCGACGGCGGUGUUUGGCACCUCGAUGUCGGCUCAUCACAUCCUGGGGCUGAAGUAGGUCCCAAGGGUAUGGCUGUUCGCCAUUUAAAGUGGUACGCGAGCUGGGUUUAGAACGUCGUGAGACAGUUCGGUCCCUAUCUGCCGUGGGCGCUGGAGAACUGAGGGGGGCUGCUCCUAGUACGAGAGGACCGGAGUGGACGCAUCACUGGUGUUCGGGUUGUCAUGCCAAUGGCACUGCCCGGUAGCUAAAUGCGGAAGAGAUAAGUGCUGAAAGCAUCUAAGCACGAAACUUGCCCCGA
rnacentral:rRNA from 3 species